rnacentral:lncRNA from 1 species
UCCCCUCGCGGGGGUGUCCAGAGUAGGGCCCGCUGCCGCCUCCCCGCGCCCCCUCCCUCGUCCUGGCCCCCACGAAACAAACCCACCAGGCCGCUUCAAUUUUAAAAAAUGUUUUUUACCUCAGGAAUGGGCGCCAAAGGUGCAGUGGCGGUGACCCGACCGGGCCCGGGCAGGCCGGUGCCCAGCAGCGGCCCUCCCUCCCCCCGCGGGGGCUGCAAGGGGCUGUGGGGCCCGCGGAGGGGAGGGGGCCGGGGCUGUGUUGGGGUCGGGGGUGUUUUGUUAUGUGUGCCGUGCCCUGUGACAGGUCAGAGUUCGUGACCCCACCGCCGCCGCCCGGUAGCGCGGUCCCGCUUCCUCUUCCAGCGCCAGCCCGGCCGCGGCCCCUCCAUCCCCCGCGGGGCGGGGCCGGCGACGGGGAGGGGCUACCGGGCUACCUGGGCCUUCCGAGCCCUGCACCGCUCCGGCCGUGCCGGGGACGUGCCGGGAGGACCCUGGCCUCCGGCGCAGCGAGGGGAAGGUGUACCUUGGUUCUCGCUGACGAUACAAUCAAAGGUGGGCUCACAGUAGAGCAAGCUCUCACAAACGCCACCGCCAGACUGUCGAGUUUUUAUUUAAUUUUGUAAAUUCAAUGUCAUUGAUUAGGGCUCUUACGGCAAAGCUUGCUGUGAGGUAUGUUGUGCCUUCAAAUACACAAUGAUAGGCACGAAACAGGUUCGGGUGUAGCUGAGGUGGUGUAGGAAUUUACCACGUUUCAGUGCUUGUCUUCUCACAGGCUAACAGAUGUUCACCCCUUGUCAUAACUAGCUACUUCUUAACCUACUCUCAUCAAAAUGUUUUUAAUGCUUCUAGUAGGUUUCCCUUGAGUCUUACAAUUUUUACAGAAGCUAAUUUAAGAAGCAGUUCGAUUAAUAAGAUAACGCCUGAAACAAAACGGAAGACCUACCAGUUGAAUGCAACAAUCACAGAAACGAGGUGUUGUUGACUUAAUAGUUACAAAGUCAAUAUAAUGAUUUUUUUUUUUUUGGAAGAUUGUAGUUUUUUCUUAGAAAUGGCUCUUUGAGGUAAGGGUAUGAUUAAUGUACUAGACCUAUGAAUUACAGUCUUACUUUCACAGAACAAGAAUUAUUAAAGCAUGUGAUGUGCAGAUGUGUUUGCAAUACACAAAUAAAGGAAAAUGCUUCAAAAAUGUCU